rnacentral:rRNA from 1 species
UACGUAGGGUGCAAGCGUUAAUCGGAAUUACUGGGCGUAAAGCGUGCGCAGGCGGUUCGCUAAGACCGAUGUGAAAUCCCCGGGCUUAACCUGGGAACUGCAUUGGUGACUGGCGGGCUAGAGUAUGGCAGAGGGGGGGUAGAAUUCCACGUGUAGCAGUGAAAUGCGUAGAGAUGUGGAGGAAUACCGAUGGCGAAGGCAGCCCCCUGGGCCAAUACUGACGCUCAUGCACGGAAAGCGUGGGGAGCAAAACGGAUUG